GGGGGUAUUAGCUAAUAGCAAAUGGGAAUGCAAGUACACAUAUCCCAGUAACUUCUAUGAUAUAUUAUUGCUUUCAGCUUACAUCAUAUUCCCAAAAAGCUUUAGGCCAACAUUGAUAUCAACACUUACUCCAGUUUCUAGGGCUCUAAGAAUAACCAGGCAUUGUCAGUAAUCAUCUGUUUUGAUUCACGUCUAAGUAAAAGAUGGGGGAAAAGAUUCUCAAACUCAAAACUGAGUUCAUCAGCUCCACACUCAUCCCAAAGUAGUGCCUCCAUAUUUCCGGUCUCUAUAAAUGAUAACAUCAUCCAUCUAGUUACCAUGUCAUAGAAUGAGCUCAUACUCUAGAAUACAAAAGGUCAAAGUGGUAAAGUGGUUAAGAGGAAGAACACUAGAGCCAAACUUUCUGAGUUCAAAUACUGUCUUUAUCAUUUAUUUUCUCUUUGACAUUAAGCAAAAUACUUAGCUUCUCAGUGAUUGUUUCCUUAUUCAUAAAGCAGGGAAGAUAAUACUACUUGCCUCAAACAAAUAUUAAAAUUUAUAGAGGAUGAGUUAAUAUUUAAAAAGUGCAUAGACCAUGGCUUGACACAUAAGGAUUAUGUACAUAUUUAUUAAAUAAAUUUAAAUAUGUGUCAUCCUGAUAGCCUCAUCAAUAUCUUGGGGUCUUUGUCUAAUAGGCUUAUAUCUUAUCCUCUGUCUUCAUUCUUAUUCUUCACAUUCUGUCCUUCAUACUACAUACAGAAUGGUACCCUUCAAUGAGUCUUCUUUGUUGGCUUAUAGGGUAAAGUCCCAACUCUACUUCAUCACUUAUUCCUCCUCAGAUAACCCAUGACCUGAUUUGACCAAGUUCUUCCAUUUUCCUAAAAGGUACUCUGGCAUUAUCUGCCUACCUGUUUUAGUCAACUUUUUUUGCUGCUGAGAUCAAAAGACCUGACAAGAACAAUUUUAGAAGAUAAAAGUUUAUUUGGGUAUCACAAUUUCGGAGGUCUCGGUCUGUAGACAGCCAACUUCAUUGCUGUGUGCCCAAGGUGUGGCAGAACAUUAUGGCCAAGGUUGGCAGAACAUCAUGGCCUACCUCCUCUAGCCAUUCUCUACCUUCUAAUAGUUUGCAC
rnacentral:lncRNA from 1 species